AGACGCACUUUUACAACAUAAAGCAGGUUUUUAAUAAUUAAAGCUUAUCACAAAAGCACUCCUUCGUUAAUGGAUCAUUUAAAAAUAAAAAAAAGUUUUAUUUUUAGCUAUAGAAUCAAAAGAUUGAGCAUAACAAAAAUGAUACUGCGAGUAAGCGCAGAUUUGAGUAACGUUUAUGAGAUGUAUAACGAAUACUUCAACGGAAUUUCUAUAUAUUCAUUUAAUAUUCCGAAACAGGAAUUGAAUAGAAAGUGGAACACCGCAAAAGUUCUACGUUUGAAUCCGUGUAUAGAAGUCAAUAAAAGCAACCUGCACAAAGAAUUGCAAACAAUCAGAGGAGCUCUUACCAAUGCAAUAAAUGCAUGGCUGGUGAUCAAAAAAAAAAAAUUAAAAUUGGGAUGAUACAAAUUAAAUGAACACUUCUUAGAAUAAGAUGGUUUUUAUUACACUUAGCUUAGCUGGAUUUAUUUUGACUGGGAUAGGAACAUGUCUUCUCUCAUGCGCACUAUACGGACUAAUGAAAAGAUUUGAAAACUUCGAAUAUGAUAUUAGAAGACAAACAUUAUGGCGACGAUCACAAGGAGCGUAACUAACAUAUUAAACAAAAAUAACAACACCGUUUUCAUUUUUGUGUGUUUGCUUCAAUAAUUAUUUUUUAAAUUAAGGUUUCUAAUUCGCACUCAUUCUUUGUCAUUAACAAUCAGUUUAGGUUAUGAUUAUCAAACUUUGUAUAGUCAUAACUUUUGAACACUAAGUAGUUAUCGUAUUAAAUUUAGAGUUUAUCGAUGAAUAUAAAUUUAUUUAAGAAUAGUAAAAAAAUAUUUUAUCAA